rnacentral:rRNA from 1 species
UACGUAGGGGGCUAGCGUUGUCCGGAAUCAUUGGGCGUAAAGAGCGUGUAGGCGGCCUGACAAGUGGAAGGUGAAAUCCCUCGGCUCAACUGAGGAACUGCCCUCCAAACUGUUUGGCUUGAGACCGGGAGAGGUGAGUGGAAUUCCCAGUGUAGCGGUGAAAUGCGUAGAUAUUGGGAGGAACACCAGUGGCGAAGGCGGCUCACUGGACCGGAACUGACGCUGAGGCGCGAAAGCGUGGGGAGCAAACGGG